GAAUGCCACCGGAGGCGGCUUUUUGACCGCCUCCAAACAAUUUAGACAUGGCGCCACCAGCAAGAGCAGAAGCAAUACCGCCAGCAAUAGCACCAAACAUAAAUCACCUCACUUAAGUGGCUGGAGACAAAUAAUCUCUUUAAUAACCUGAUUCAGCGAAACCAAUCCGCGGCAUUUAGUAGCGGUAAAGUUAGACCAAACCAUGAAACCA
rnacentral:rRNA from 1 species